GAUGAACGCUGGCGGCGUGCUUAACACAUGCAAGUCGAACGGUGGAGGCGGAGCUUGCUCUGCUGGAUGAGUGGCGCACGGGUGUGUAACACGUGAGCAAUCUGGCCCUGACUGUGGGAUAAGCGCUGGAAACGGCGUCUAAUACUGGAUACGAGCUGCGAAGGCAUGUUCAGCAGCUGGAAAGAAUUUCGGUAAGGGAUGAGCUCGCGGCCUAUCAGCUUGUUGGUCAGGUAAUGGCUAACCAAGGCAUCGAAGGGUAGCCGGCCUGGGAGGGUGACCACGCACCAGAGGACUACGACACGGAGCAGACUGCAACGGGAGGCAGUAGUGGGGAAUAUUACACAGUGAGGCAGAGCGUGAGACAGCAACGCCCGGAUAGGAAAGACCGCUUACGUGUUGUAAACCUCUUUUAGCAGAGAAGAAGCGAAAGUGACGGUACCUGCAGAAAAAGCGCCGGCUAACUACGUG
rnacentral:rRNA from 1 species